CCUACGGGAGGCAGCAGUGGGGGAUAUUGCACAAUGGGGGAAACCCUGAUGCAGCGACGCCGCGUGGGCGAAGAAGUAUUUCGGUAUGUACAGCCCUAUCAGCAGGGAAGAAGAAAUGACGGUACCUGAGUAAGAAGCACCGGCUAAAUACGGGCCAGCAGCCGCGGUAAUCCGGAGUAUGCGAGCAUUAUCCGGAUUUAUUGGGUUUAAAGGGUGCGUAGGCGGAAUGCCAAGUCAGCGGUAAAAUCGCGGGGCUCAACCUCGCUCCGCUGUUGAAACUGGCGUUCUUGAGUGGGCGAGAAGUAUGCGGAAUGCGUGGUGUAGCGGUGAAAUGCAUAGAUAUCACGCAGAACUCCGAUUGCGAAGGCAGCAUACCGGCGCCCAACUGACGCUGAAGCACGAAAGCGUGGGUAUCGAACAGGAUUAGAUACCCCUGUAGUC
rnacentral:rRNA from 1 species